GGGGCCUUAGCUCAGUUGGCAGAGCACCGGCUUUGCAAGCCGGGUGUCAGGGGUUCGAAUCCCCUAGGCUCCACCU
rnacentral:tRNA from 1 species